GCCUUCGUGGUGUAGUGGUCAGCGCGCUCGACGCAUUACCAAUAGGUCCGUGGUUCGAUUCCCGGCGAAGGCG
rnacentral:tRNA from 1 species